rnacentral:rRNA from 1 species
GACGAACGCUGGCGGCGUGCUUAACACAUGCAAGUCGAACGGAAAGGCCCUGCUUUUGUGGGGUGCUCGAGUGGCGAACGGGUGAGUAACACGUGAGUAACCUGCCCUUGACUUUGGGAUAACUUCGGGAAACUGGGGCUAAUACCGGAUAGGAGCUCCUGCUGCAUGGGGGGGGUUGGAAAGUUUCGGCGGUUGGGGAUGGACUCGCGGCUUAUCAGCUUGUUGGUGGGGUAGUGGCUUACCAAGGCUUUGACGGGUAGCCGGCCUGAGAGGGUGACCGGCCACAUUGGGACUGAGAUACGGACCAGACUCCUACGGGAGGCAGCAGUGGAGAAUAUUGCACAAUGGGCGGAAGCCUGAUGCAGCAACGCCGCGUGCGGGAUGACGGCCUUCGGGUUGUAAACCGCUUUCGCCUGUGACGAAGCGUGAGUGACGGUAAUGGGUAAAGAAGCACCGGCUAACUACGUG